UGCAGUCGNACGCUUUUUCUUUCACCGGAGCUUGCUCCACCGAAAGAAGAGGAGUGGCGAACGGGUGAGUAACACGUGGGUAACCUGCCCAUCAGAAGGGGAUAACACUUGGAAACAGGUGCUAAUACCGUAUAACAGUAGAAACCGCAUGGUUUCUAUUUGAAAGGCGCUUUUGCGUCACUGAUGGAUGGACCCGCGGUGCAUUAGCUAGUUGGUGAGGUAACGGCUCACCAAGGCAACGAUGCAUAGCCGACCUGAGAGGGUGAUCGGCCACAUUGGGACUGAGACACGGCCCAAACUCCUACGGGAGGCAGCAGUAGGGAAUCUUCGGCAAUGGACGAAAGUCUGACCGAGCAACGCCGCGUGAGUGAAGAAGGUUUUCGGAUCGUAAAACUCUGUUGUUAGAGAAGAACAAGGAUGAGANUAAAANGUUCAUCCCUUGACGGUAUCUAACCAGAAAGCCACGGCUAACUACGUGC
rnacentral:rRNA from 1 species